rnacentral:rRNA from 1 species
UACGUAGGAUGCAAGCGUUGUCCGGAAUUAUUGGGCGUAAAGAGUUUGUAGGCGGUUGCUUAAGGCUGUCGUUAAAGGGCGGAGCUCAACUCCGGUAUGGCGAUGGAAACUGGGCGGCUAGAGUAUGACAGAGGUAACUGGAAUUCCAGGUGUAGCGGUGAAAUGCGUAGAUAUCUGGAGGAACACCAGUGGCGAAAGCGGGUUACUGGGUCAUUACUGACGCUGAAGAACGAAAGCCAGGGUAGCAAAAGGG